rnacentral:rRNA from 1 species
CGUGUUAGACUGCAGUCGCACGGAAUGAUUUAAGUAGUAAUACCUGAUGAUUUCAGUGGCGCACGGGUGAGUAACACGUGAAUUACAUGCCCUUCAGUGGGGAAUAGCCCAGGGAAACUUGGAUUAAUACCCCAUGGUAUCGCAAGAUUAAAGGUGGCCGCAAGGCUGUCGCUGAAGGAUUGGUUCGCGCCCUAUCAGCUUGUUGGUGAGGUAACGGCUCACCAAGGCUACGACGGGUACCUGGUCUGAGAGGACGAUCAGGCACACUGGAACUGAGACACGGUCCAGACACCUACGGGUGGCAGCAGUCGAGAAUAAUUCACAAUGGGGGCAACCCUGAUGGUGCAACGCCGCGUGGAGGAUGACGGUCUUAGGAUUGUAAACUCCUGUCAUCCGGGAGAAAGACCUGACGAUUAAUAGUCGGCAGGGUUGAUAGUACCGGAAGAGGAAGGGACGGCUAACUUCGUGCCAGCAGCCGCGGUAAUACGAAGGUCCCAAGCGUUGUUCGGAAUCACUGGGCGUAAAGGGAGCGUAGGCGGCGCGGUAAGUCGGAUGUGAAAUCCCGGGGCUCAACCCCGGAACUGCAUCUGAUACUGCCGUGCUAGAGUAAUGGAGGGGUAGCUGGAAUUCUCGGUGUAGCAGUGAAAUGCGUAGAU